UACGAAGGGGGCUAGCGUUGCUCGGAAUCACUGGGCGUAAAGCGCACGUAGGCGGCUUCUUAAGUCAGGGGUGAAAUCCUGGAGCUCAACUCCAGAACUGCCUUUGAUACUGGGAGGCUCGAGUCCGGGAGAGGUGAGUGGAACUGCGAGUGUAGAGGUGAAAUUCGUAGAUAUUCGCAAGAACACCAGUGGCGAAGGCGGCUCACUGGCCCGGUACUGACGCUGAGGUGCGAAAGCGUGGGGAGCAACAGG
rnacentral:rRNA from 1 species